rnacentral:rRNA from 1 species
GACGAACGCUGGCGGCGUGCUUAACACAUGCAAGUCGAACGGAAAGGCCCUGCUUUUGUGGGGUGCUCGAGUGGCGAACGGGUGAGUAACACGUGAGUAACCUGCCCUUGACUUUGGGAUAACUUCAGGAAACUGGGGCUAAUACCGGAUAGGAGCUCCUGCUGCAUGGUGGGGGUUGGAAAGUUUCGGCGGUUGGGGAUGGACUCGCGGCUUAUCAGCUUGUUGGAGGGGUAGUGGCUUACCAAGGCUUUGACGGGUAGCCGGCCUGAGAGGGUGACCGGCCACAUUGGGACUGAGAUACGGCCCAGACUCCUACGGGAGGCAGCAGUGGGGAAUAUUGCACAAUGGGCGGAAGCCUGAUGCAGCAACGCCGCGUGCGGGAUGACGGCCUUCGGGUUGUAAACCGCUUUCGCCUGUGACGAAGCGUAAGUGACGGUAAUGGGUAAAGAAGCACCGGCUAACUACGUG